rnacentral:lncRNA from 1 species
UGUGCUUCUUCAUAUACUAAUUGCUACCUUGGUUAACAGCCCGCCCAGGGGCAAAUGGUUUGACAAAAGGUGACCCUAGAACAUUUCCUGCAUAAGAUAAGCAAUGUGUUUGCAGUCUUGUUCUGUGAAUUCCCUGACUCUUUGUUUAGAAAAACCUUAUAAAAAGUACCUCAGCCCCUGAGCAGUUGCCUCUGUGAGCCACCUGGCUCCGGGAGGGCCAUCUGGCCAGACUAAUAAAGGUCUUUUACCAUCUAGCCUGGUGUGUUCCUUCCUGGGUUUCUCGGUUCGGUUCUCUGUCGUGUUCCCGGGGCCUCGCUGGGUGUUAGGGCCCAGCAUCGUGGAGGCCUUUUGGCUGUUCACGCUCCGUGGAGUGGAAGUGAGACUUUAGGUCUUACAUAUUGGAGGCCCCAGCGAGAUACCCAGGUGGGAACUGUAAAUCUGGCCGAGAUUCUCUGUUGCGGGAUCCAGCAGGAGAUUCUCAGACACAGACCUUUGAAAGCCUCCGGAGGUAAGCUUUGAACCGGUUGCAACUGUCUGUAUGUCAGGAUCGAGGUGGCUGAUGAGCCGGGAAACCUCCCCUGACCCCGUCCCUGAUGAGGACUCCGGGUAGAAUCAAAGCUUUUCUUUUUGUGUGGCACCUGUCUGUCUUGUCAGUGUCUCGUCUGUUGAGUGUUAAACUAAAUUUGUUCCUAGGGACAAGAUGGGAGCAUCCAGCUCCAAGAACACCACCCCACUGGAUUGCUAACUAAUUUUAAAAUUGUUUUUUUUUUCCCUGAGCAGAAGGAUGAUUACGGGGUUAAAUUCUCUCAUGGAAAGCUUUGCUCCCUGUGUCAAUCCGAGUCCCACCGGAGCAAGCGACUGUCUGCCUCCUUGGAAGGGAAAAGGUGCACCCCCAGGAUUUCCUGGGUUCCCUUUCUAGGACGCAGAGGCCGGCUCGUCAAUAGUGGAACAGAAAGAAGGAAAAUGAAUAAAAUCAUCUGUCUGAAUGAAAAUGUGACAUCGUUUCAGGCAAAUCCCAGUGUUUCCCCUUUGGAGGAGGUCGAGCUGUCUCCCCUCCACUUGAGUUGCUAAGAUAGAAGGUAUGAAGGAGGUAAGGGUAGAACAAAGUUGUUUAACCUUACUGCACUGGAGGAUGCAAAUGGGAAAGCAUGAUGGGACUCAGAAAAAAGAUGAAACAGGGCUUACACUCAGAUUAAAAGAACUAAAAGGAGAAAAUCUCUAAUGGAUUAAAAUCAGGUAGGAAAAUUCUGAAAGACAAAAUUAUAAGGAAAAAAAAACAAAAAACUGCAAGCCAGAGAAACUGCAAUUGUGUUUUGGCAGACAUCAAGAGAUUUUUACAACAAAAAUCAAGUUAGA